rnacentral:tRNA from 1 species
GUAUACAUAAUUUAAUUAAAAUGCUAGGCUGUGACCCUAAAAACGAAAGUUCAAUACUUUCUGUAAACC